AACGAACGCUGGCGGCAUGCCUAACACAUGCGAGUCGAACGAGACCUUCGGGUCUAGUGGCGCACGGGUGCGUAACGCGUGGGAAUCUGCCCUUGGGUUCGGAAUAACAGUUGGAAACGACUGCUAAUACCGGAUGAUGACGUAAGUCCAAAGAUUUAUCGCCCAAGGAUGAGCCCGCGUAGGAUUAGCUAGUUGGUGAGGUAAAGGCUCACCAAGGCGACGAUCCUUAGCUGGUCUGAGAGGAUGAUCAGCCACACUGGGACUGAGACACGGCCCAGACUCCUACGGGAGGCAGCAGUGGGGAAUAUUGGACAAUGGGCGAAAGCCUGAUCCAGCAAUGCCGCGUGAGUGAUGAAGGCCUUAGGGUUGUAAAGCUCUUUUACCCGGGAUGAUAAUGACAGUACCGGGAGAAUAAGCUCCGGCUAACUCCGUG
rnacentral:rRNA from 1 species